rnacentral:tRNA from 1 species
CCUAUAGCUCAGUUGGUUAGAGUAGCUGACUCAUAAUCAGUUGGUCGAUGGUUCGAGCCCAUCUGGG